GCGCGUAGGCGGCGCGAGCAGUCGAGCGUGAAAGCCCGGAGCUCAACUCCGGAUCUGCGGUCGAUACUCGCGUGCUUGAGCACUGUAGAGGCAAAUGGAAUUCCCGGUGUAGCGGUGGAAUGCGUAGAUAUCCGGAAGAACACCGGUGGCGAAGGCGGCUCGCUGGACAGUUUCUGACGCUGAGGCGCGACAGCGUGGGGAGCAAACAGGAUUAGAUACCCUGGUAGUCCACGCUGUAAACGAUGGGCGCUAGGUGUUGGGGGGACCGACCCUUUGAUGGCCCGCCCUAACCCGUUAACUGCCCCGCCGGGGGAGAACGGCCCCAAGGUUGAAACUCAAAGGAAUUGACGGGGGCCCCCCCAACCGGGGGACAAGGUGGUUUAUUUCAACCCACCCCGAAAAACCUUACCUCGGCUUGACUGGCAUGGAAAGCGCCGGAAAAUCCAGGCGCCCUCUUCGGAUGGCAUGCACACGUGCGGCGUGGGUGUCUUCUCCUCUCGUGUCGAGAUGUGGUGUGAUAUCUCGCGACAAGCGCGCCCCCCGUUCCUAGUU
rnacentral:rRNA from 1 species